GAUGAACGCGGCGGCGUGCCUAACACAUGCAAGUCGAACGAAGUAUAUAUAGGAAGUCUUCGGAUGGAAUAUGUAUAACUUAGUGGCGGACGGGUGAGUAACGCGUAAGUAAUCAACCUGUGACACACGGAUAACUGAUAGAAAUGUCAGCUAAUACGAGAUGAGCUGUUUAGAUUGGGAAAUGGAAACAGCAAAGCGAAAGCGGUCACAGACGAGCUUGCGUCUGAUUAGCUAGUUGGUGGGGUAAGAGCCUACCAAGGCGACGAUCAGUAGCCGGCCUGAGAGGGUGAACGGCCACAUUGGAACUGAGACACGGUCCAAACUCCUACGGGAGGCAGCAGUGGGGGAUAUUGCACAAUGGGGGGAACCCUGAUGCAGCAACGCCGCGUGAGUGAAGAAGGCCCUAGGGUCGUAAAGCUCUGUCGUAUGGAAAGAAA
rnacentral:rRNA from 1 species